rnacentral:lncRNA from 1 species
CUGUGGCAUGUAUUUGUAGCUUGAUGAAUGGUGGGAACAGCCAGCCCCAACCGUUGUUGAUUGGGUUACUGUCGAUGGAGAAAAUGUCGCAGCAUGGCAAAAUCAUGUGAAGCAGCUUCUGGCAUUUUAUGACAAGUAAACUCUGCUUAAGAAUUUCAUUUUAUGGUCGGAAAAAGUGGUUUCUGGCUUUUCUUAAAUUGCUGUACCAUUUCUGGGAGUCUCGCGGCGUAAGAACUGCAAAUGGCAUUUACAAGAAGUUUUGAAAAAAGGAGUAAGGUGAAAGGAAUUUGAGCAUGCCCACAUCGGUUUUAUACCAAGUUGUCGUGUAUAUGAUUUCUUCCAUAGCCUACUUAUCUCUUCUGAUACGAUCAAGUUAAGGUCCCAGCCUCAGUUCUUGUACCAGGUAAUUGUAGGGAUUUGUCUUAUUUCUUACGUAACAACAGAUUCAGUGUGCUAAUUAAUUAAGAUGAAAAGGCGAUGACCUUAAGAGAGUGAAAUUGAUUAGUGUAAUUUUAUUUUUUUUCAAUUUUGUUAUACUAGAAUUCAA